UCCCUCGUAGCUCGGUGGGUAAAGAAUCUGCCUUCAAUGCAGGAGACCCAGGUUCGAAUCUUGGAUUGGGAA
rnacentral:tRNA from 1 species